AUACGUAGGGGGCGAGCGUUGUCCGGAAUGAUUGGGCGUAAAGGGCGCGUAGGCGGCCCGGUAAGUCUGGAGUGAAAGUCCUGUUUUUAAGAUGGGAAUUGCUUUGGAUACUGUCGGGCUUGAGUGCAGGAGAGGUAAGUGGAAUUCCCAGUGUAGCGGUGAAAUGCGUAGAGAUUGGGUGGAACACCAGUGGCGAAGGCGACUUACUGGACUGUAACUGACGCUGAGGCGCGAAAGUGUGGGGAGCAAACAGGAUUAGAUACCCUGGUAGUCCACACUGUAAACGAUGAAUGCUAGGUGUAGGGGGUAUCGACCCCUUCUGUGCCGCAGUCAACACAAUAAGCAUUCCGCCUGGGGAGUACGGCCGCAAGGUUGAAACUCAAAGGAAUUGACGGGG
rnacentral:rRNA from 1 species